UGUCUCUUCAACCCGCCACCCUCACCAAGCUGAAGUGCUGGUCUUGUUCUCGUUGAUUUUAAAAAGCUCUUUACUUAUUAAGGAGAAUGGUCUGGUAGAUUUUAUAAUUUUCCCUAGGCUUCUGUUUUUCCUGUGAAAUUUAAAUGACUUGUUUUUGAUAGUCAGGGACUUUAAUUUUUAUAGAGUCAAACAGACCCGCCUCUUCCUCUAUGGCUUCAGGGCACAUGAAUUUUUCGGGUAAAAUAUGAGACUUCAAAGCGAUCAUCUGCUUCCAGUGGCCCUGUUUAGGCAAUGUCUACAGAAUAUCCGGGUCCCCGCAUGCUCAAGCUGCACAACUGCUCAGGGAGAAGGGAUGAAGUACACUGCAUCUUGCCUGGCGGAGGUGAAUCUUCAAACUUGGUGCAGCAUCCAGGAAAUGAAAACAGCUCGCUUCCACUGCCAACUGACGUGGCCUGACCACGCACUUCGUCCCGUGGAGUCUCCCGGGAACCACAGCUGCACAGCCACACGUGGCCCACGGGCUCCAGCGACCUCGCACCGUCCCCAGAAUGCCUGUGUGCUUUCUGCACGCAGGAGGAAUCCCAUUCCACAGGGC
rnacentral:lncRNA from 1 species